AUUCUAUUCACUACAUACACAGCUUUUGGGAGCUGAAGGGAGGGAGGGUCAGUCUUAACUUGAUUAUCUCUCAGCAGUUUUAAACAUUAUACCCACCGAGAAUGGUGGCAUGUGCUUACAGUCCUAGCAUUCAUGACACAGAGGCAAAGUGUGUUUGAGGCCAACCCGGGUGACAUGAGGCUCUGUUUCAAAGCGAGAAAACUCAAAGAAAGGAAGAAAGAAAAAAAAACUAAUGACCUUUGAUGCUUCAGAAUAAUGUACUUCGAGACUCUGCUUCAAAAAACCGCCAACCCAGGACUGAGUCGUACCUCUGUGGUAAAUGCCUAGCGUGCCUGAGGCCUGAUCGGCAACAGCACAUAAAUCAGAGCGGAGUUUCAAGAUCAUCCUCACCUGGGAUGAAUCAAGGCCAGCAUGGGUUACGUGAGACUACCAAGCAAACAAACAAACAAAAAUCAAACAAACGAAAAACCUAGGCACCCUUCAAAAUGAGGGAAAAAGUCAAGUGUCUCUGUAUCUAUCCUGGACAUUUCGUAUGAAUGGAAGUGCAUGUCUAACCAUUUGGGUUCAAAAUAACAUCAAGAUCU
rnacentral:lncRNA from 1 species